UAGUUUUUUUCUGAGGUCUUUGUAGAAUGAUGUUGCAAUUGUACUGUUCACAUUUCAAGAAAAUAUUGACUACUAUAAUUGCACGCAUUACCAAAGAAGGUGCUUGCUUCCCCUUCACCUUGUGCUAUGAUUGUAAGUUUCCGGAGGACUCCCAAUCAUGCUUCCUGUUAAGCAUGCAGAACUCAGUUUUGAAAUGAAACAACAAAAUAACAUUUUUAAAUCAGAAAUCAAUGUUUGAUUCUGCAGAUCACAAAUGGUGCCAUAUUUUUAUAGCAACACAAAGAAAUGUUGUAAGUGUGAAAUUACUUACUUGGCCUUUUUAUGGAUUCAUAUGGCCUUACAUGGAAUGAAGGAAAGAAUAAAAAAUGGAUAUGAUCCUGACCAUGUUGAACAACAGAUUUUCAAGACUGUCAGAAAAGGACCACAGUGCGUAUAUCAGCUAAUUUAUGUCAAGAUGGCAUUUUUGUGUAGUUAUAAAAAUGAAGAAUAUUAUUUGUACAGAGCUUUAACUUGUACUGAGGCCUUCCACAAAUGAUAUGUCAUUGAGUUCUCACAAUAAGUUACAUUCUUUGCAAAUUGUUUUGUGAAAUUCUAUAUACAUUUCACAAAUGAAGAACGUGAGGUUCAGAGAAUUUUUGCAAAUUAAUGACCAACCAUAGAUCUAGUAAGUUUCAGAGUUAGUACCUAAACCUAAACUUUGCCUCUUUAUUCUUUAUUCCCCAGUACUUGAACAGUUAACAAAGCAUUUAUUCUCUAGCAGGAAGUUACUUUGGCCUUCUAUAUUUAGUUUUGAACUUACCAUUGAAUAAUUUCCAUAAUAGGCCAGGCAUGGUGGCUCACAACUGUGAUCUCAGUCCUUUGGGAGGCUGAGGCAGGAGGAUUGCUUGAACCUAGGAAUUCAAGACCAGCCUGGGCAAGAUGGCAAGACCCUGUUUCUACAAAAAUAAAAUAAAGUAAAAUUAGUUGGGCAUGGUGGUGCAUGCAUGUAGUCCCAGUUACUCAGGAGGAUGAGGUGGGAGGAUUGCUUGAGCUCAGCAGUUUGAGGUUAUGGUGAGCUAUGAUCAUGCCACUGCAAUCCAGGCUGGGUGACAGAAAUAGAGACCCUGUCUUUUUAAAUAAUAAUAAUAAUACCCAUGAUAAAAAUACUUGUAUUUUAUUACUUUUCUUUUAAUAUUUAUAACUCAGUGUGUGUCAGACUUUUUGCUAAGUCUUUCAUAUAUAUAAAUAAUAGAUAGAUAGAUAGAUAGAUAGAUAGAUAGAUAGAUAGAUAGAUGCUCUAUGAGGUAUUGAUUAUCUGGACAUGAAUUCUCUGCUACAUUCCUAAAGAAAUACUCACUUUUCCCUAUCUUAUUCUGUCUGACAUCAAGCUACUACUAGUCACACCAUUUAGGACACUCAAUUUAGAUUAUUUGAUCUAUUGUUCAUCUAUAACAAGAUUCCAACCAGUGCCAACUCCCUGUCAAUGCAAAAUUCACUGAAAUUUUACUUGCCCCACCUAUUCACUUUUCCCUUUAGCCUACAUGUAACCUGAAAAUCACCUAUCAAUAAUGCUUUUGAGAAAAUAAUUAUCUAAUUGGAAAUCUAUACCCUUUGAACAAUAUUUCCUCAAUCCUUCACUCUCCUCCAUCCCCAGUCUCUGGUAAUCACUGUUCUAUUCUCUACUUCCAUGAGUUUGACUUUAUUAGAGUCCACAUAUAAGUGAGAUCAUGACGUAUUUGUCUUUCUGCGCCUGGCUUGUUUCACUUAGCAUAAUGUCCCCUAGGUUCAUUCAUGUUGUCAGAGAUGACAGGAUUUUCUUCUUUUGUAAAGUGGAAUAGUAUUCCAUUGUAUACAUAUAUGUGUAUAUGACAUUUUUAAAUCCAGUCAUCUGUUGAUAAUCAUUGCACAUUAUAUACAAAUUCAACAUACCACAUUACACCUCAUAAAUGCAUGCAAUUAUGAUUUAUCAAUUAAAAAUAAUAUUAAUAAAAAGAGAUAGUUUUUUAUAUUAAUAGAAACCUAUGUCCCACAUAUUUAUUAGUACUGAAUAUGUAUAUAAUCUGACUACUACAUCUCCAUCUCAUUGAAUAUCAGGGUUCAGGUUUAUAUGAAAGCAUUUUUUCUCAUCUCCAAAACUGCAUUUGAAUUCCUUUGGAAGCUAUGAAUUGGAUUUAGAAAACAAUGACAGACUUCCAAAACAGACAGGGAUAUUUUUCAGUUAUAAUUUUUCAGGUAAUUCUGACUUUCUAUGUUAAUUUUCUAACUCAGUGUUUUCCACUAAUUUAUAAAGGAGAACUGUAACCUUAAUAUAUGCAUUUUCCUCAUAGCCAAAAUUGUUGAGCUGUUGAAAUCUAAACAACAUUUAAAAUAUCUAUCAGGGAGGGAGAUGAGCCUUUAAGUUUUGAAAUCUAAUCUAAGAUGAUACUUCAUAAACUUUUACUUACUGAGUUUAUAAAAAUGGGCUGUUUUAAAAAAUAUGUAGACUUUCUUGUCAAAGAGCCUGUCUUUGUUGUCUCUGAUAUCUAAUUAUUCCCCAAAGUAAUCUCUUUGUAUCCUUUCCUCCAAAACAAGUAUGUGACAAUCUGCUCCUCAGAUAAAAGAACAAGGAAAGAAUGGUAUAUGUUCUCAUUCAAAAUAAAUAUAAAAGAUAAAAGAAAUGAAGUGUAAUAACAAAUCCUAAGUGAAAAAAAAUAAGAUUUUAAAAAAUUAUUCCAACUGGGGAAAAGAACUAUUAAAUGUAUGUAUUUUAUUUAUAUUGUCUUAUCCGGAGUGGAAGGUGUGCUGACGCCUUCCACAAGUUGUUGUUCC
rnacentral:lncRNA from 1 species